rnacentral:lncRNA from 1 species
CCGUCACCUCCACCGUCGUUUCCGUCGACGAAAACUCCAUCUCCGCCAAUGCUUCCACCUAUAUCAACGGUCCACCACCGCCAAAUCCUCCCAAUUCUAGAAAUAUUUCUCUAUUUCUUCCAAUUCUUUCAACCGGGCUAGUUUUAACAUUAAACAAAAGGAGAGACAGAUUAAAGACAAGCUUUUCUACCAAAUUUUCCUUCUCAUCAUUUCCGAUCCUAAAUCCGCCUGUAACCUUUUUACUCUCUACCUCGCCACCAAAUUUUCUGUCACCUUCGCCGGAUCUUUACUAGCUAUAAGGAAAGCAUCGCCACGGAUAAGUUAGAGCUUUUCCAUAGUUUCUGAGUGGAGAAAAUGCAGUAGUUUUCAUAUUAGAUUGCUUUAUCAAAAUCUUUGAGUGCUAAGGGUUGUGGUUGACCAUGGUUGGUUUUGCAGAAAACAAAAAUAAAGUAGUGUGCCAUUCAGGGGGUCUUAGCUACCGAAUUUUGUGCAAGUUAGAGAGGUAAAGUAUGCAUUGAGCUUUAAAAUUUUGAAAACCUAUUACCUUACCAAAAACAAAAAAAAAACAAAUAAUGACUUGUAUUGUAUGUGAAUUUGUCAUUUCUGUCAUUUUUAGUGUCUAGUGAG